rnacentral:rRNA from 1 species
AUGCUGCCAGAUCGAGAGAUUGAGUUUUUGACUGAGUUGCUUCCAGGCACGGGGCCUAUCUCCAAGAGGCCGUAUCGAAUGCCUGCUAAUGAUUUGGAGGAAAUCAAGAAACAGAUUAAGGAGUUACUAGAGAAAGGGUAUAUUCGCCCGAGUUCAUCACCUUGGGGAGCCCCAGUACUUUUAGUGGAGAAGAAGGAUGGAACCUUGAGGAUGUGUGUGGAUUACUGCUCUUUGAAUGAGGUGACCAUCAAGAACAAGUAUCCCCUACCGAUGAUCAAUGACUUGUUUGACCAGCUAGAAGGAGCUAGUGUUUUCUCCAAGAUCGAUCUUCGAUCGGGUUAUCAUCAGUUGAAGAUUCGUGAGAAGGAUAUACCCAAGACAGCUUUUACCACAAGGUAUGGGCUUUAUGAGUACACAGUCAUGUCCUUUGGUUUGAGUAAUGCCCCUGCCUAUUUUAUGAGCAUGAUGAACAAAGUAUUCAUGGAGUUUCUGGAUAAGUUUGUUGUGGUAUUCAUUGAUGACAUAUUGGUUUACUCCAAGAAUGAGGAGGAACACACCGAACAUCUUCGUUUAGUUUUGGAGAAGCUCAGAGAA